GGGCCUGAGGAGUCUUUGGCAGGCUCUUCCUUCUUAUGGAUGAGGUCAGAAUGGAGAACUAGGUCUCCUUGGGACCUUCAUCUCCUGUACUCCAGCCUGUCACGCAGGUCCUCAGACAGACACUGGUGCACAAAGAGACACCAACAUUUGAGUUUCUGCUCCCCAGGGCUAGAGUCUGAAUUUUCCCCAAGCAAAAUGCUGAAUGGAGACAAAAGUUUUGUACAAUUUUGUCCUCUUUCUCAGGUUGGACAUUGUCAUUCACCAUAGGGAUCAAAAGGGACUAAUGCUUUUGAGGUAAUGGGGAAGGCAUGUGAUGGGUUGUCCAGGGUGUCCUCAGUUUCUGCGUGUAGCUCCUUGCCUUUGAUCCUGCAAAGGGAAGAGGCAAGAGGGUUGGGGAUUUAACCAGACUCAAGGCUUAGAAAGAUAUUGAGAUCUGAUUUUUCUAGUUGAAGCAUAAGCUCUAUAAUCAGGAUGGGUGGUAGAUUAUAUUCUAGGACAUUCUUACAGUUCAACAUUGUCACAGUAAGCAAAUGCUGGAAUAUUUUUUAUUAAUGAGAGGGUCAAAAUUUUCUUCUCUUUCUUCCAUUGACAGUUUCAUAGAAACAACUAUGUUUUUGCACCUAGAUUUCAUUGGAUAGUAUUCAUUAAUGGAAAAUCUAGUUAA